rnacentral:rRNA from 1 species
UGAGGAAUAUUGGUCAAUGGGCGGAAGCCUGAACCAGCCAAGUCGCGUGAGGGAAGACGGUCCUAUGGAUUGUAAACCUCUUUUGUCGGGGAGCAAAGCCGCUCACGUGUGAGCGGAAGGAGAGUACCCGAAGAAAAAGCAUCGGCUAACUCCGUGCC